GAUCAUGGCUCAGGAUGAACGCUGGCGGCGUGCCUAACACAUGCAAGUCGGAACGAAGCGAUUUAACGGUAAGUUUUCGGUAUGGAAGUUGAAUUGUACUGAGUGGCGGACGGGUGAGUAACGCGUGGUAACCUGCCUUGUACUGGGGACAACAGUUAGAAAUGACUGCUAAUACCGCAUAAGCGCACAGUAUCGCAUGAUACAGUGUGAAAAACUCCGGUGGUACAAGAUGGACCCGNGU
rnacentral:rRNA from 1 species